rnacentral:pre_miRNA from 1 species
UCUUCAAGAUGAGCAAAGAAAGUUGUUUCCUGAGAUGGAAUCUACUCCUGGUGAAGAUGUUGUGAA